GUGUUGCUAAUUGUCGGGGCGAUGUUAUUAUGAGCGCAGGUGUCACUAUCCAAAGUAAAAGUGCAGGUGUCAAUUUAAGAAAGCACACGUUUUUCUGAUGGCAUAUUAGGACCCUUUGUCUGGUGUGCUGGGUUGGGCCGGCUUGCAAAGGAAGAUAUAAAAGGGCAGAAAUAAAUAAAUGAAAUAAAACCAACACCUUCUGUGGCAGCUAACCCCCGCCCCCCUCCACAAGACCCUGUCGCUCCCAGACAGAGCACGGAGACAAAUGUCCUGCUCGGGGGUGCCUCAAAGGCAGGUUCUGCACCGAGGGGGUUUGGAGGCAGGUGGUCUCAGCAGUGGAGCUGGGAGUCAUUAGUGGGUUUGUGUCUAGAGGUUCCCAGCUGAACCAGCCCUGGGGACUAGACCCUGUCCCCACACACACCAUGGUAAGAGCAAAGCUCUGCUCCGAUGAGCUUAUGAACUAAAUGGACAAAGGAGGGGAAGAGAAAUCGAGGUGUCCAGUGACUCGCCCUCACCCAGCUCAACACUGAUACCAGGAAUAGACCCAGUACACCACACUGCCUCUCCGAGCGCCUCUGACCGUUAGUGCCGGGAACAGACCCUCCAUCGGCCAGUACAGCGCACGGCCUCUCCGAGCGCCUCUGACCGUUAGCGCCGGGAACAGACCCUCCAUCGGCCAGUACAGCGCACUGCCUCUCCGAGCGCCUCUGACCGUUAGCGCCGGGAACAGACCCUCCAUCGGCCAGCACAGCGCACUGCCUCUCCGAGUGCCUCUGACUUACAUGCCUCCCGGAGUUUCCAGGGGAACCGUUGUUGCCUCAUCUUUGAAGAGGGCACAGGGUGUGUGCGUCUCUGAUGUCCACUGCAGAGGAGUGGCCCUGUCUCCACCCAGCCACCCUCAGUGUGGCUAAUGCCAUGGGAGCCAGUAGCUAGCCGCAGUCCUUAUUCUCAAGAGACCACAAUGACAUUGCUUGUGCCUCAGCCCUGCAUAGGGAUGCAAGGAGUGGGAGCAGCUUCCCACAUGCCCCCCUUUCCUUGCACUGCCGCGAGAAGCUGAACACAGUCUGUCAAUCAAGGGCACCAAAAACCCUCUUGUUUUUCUUGGUAAAUAACUUCCUUGUGACUCCGGCUUGGAAUGUGUCUGGGAGAAACUGCAGGGCUAUAUAGGGGAAAAACCAAGCAAUGAUUUAUUUCCUGCUUGGUGUAAAAGAUACUGCGCUGGGUCUACUGAGCUUUGAGUGUUUGUGUAAAUCUGUCUCCUCAAAACAUCUCAAAGAGUUGACUGAUGGCCCAUGUAAUUUAGAAGAAGGCUAAAAAUUUAAAUCUUACAACCUGCCUGAGAGAGAGAAAAUACAAUGCAGUUUGUGCCAUGCUCAGCAUUACACCGCAGGAAGCAGAUGCCAAAACUAUACUUUGGAAGGACUGUGCUGUAAUUGAGCUGGUGACAGUGGCAGAAUUGUCAGAGGAAUUUUUCUGACAACUUCUCUGAGUUGUUCCUCUGACAACUUUCUCUGAGACUUGGGCCCUCCUGUUUCGAGCACAGCACAAAUUGUUUCUGAUGUUCUCCAGGGACCCAUCUAAGUGCAGGUGAAUGGACACACCUGGACUCCGUGUGAACUGCUGCUGGUGGCGAGAAGUUUCUGGGAACAGAUAAAGAGAAUAACGAAUGUUAAAGCUUUCAGAAGCUCCCUUAUCUACCUACCUGGGGGAAAGGCCUAGGUAAAACGAGCCUCCCCUCCUAAGUUAAUUUUCUCCAUGUGAAAAUGA